UCCUGGUGUAGCGGUGGAAUGCGCAGAUAUCAGGAGGAACACCGAUGGCGAAGGCAGAUCUCUGGGCCGUAACUGACGCUGAGGAGCGAAAGGGUGGGGAGCAAACAGCAUUAGAUACCCUGGUAGUCCACCCACGUAAACGUUGGGAACUAGUUGUGGGGUCCAUUCCACGGAUUCCGUGACGCAGCUAACGCAUUAAGUUCCCCGCCUGGGGAGUACGGCCGCAAGGCUAAAACUCAAAGGAAUUGACGGGGACCCGCACAAGCGGCGGAGCAUGCGGAUUAAUUUGAUGCAACGCGAAGAACCUUACCAAGGCUUGACAUAUACGAGAACGGGCCAGAAAUGGUCAACUCUUUGGACACUCGUAAACAGGUGGUGCAUGGUUGUCGUCAGCUCGUGUCGUGAGAUGUUGGGUUAAGUCCCGCAACGAGCGCAACCCUCGUUCUAUGUUGCCAGCACGUAAUGGUGGGAACUCAUGGGAUACUGCCGGGGUCAACUCGGAGGAAGGUGGGGAUGACGUCAAAUCAUCAUGCCCCUUAUGUCUUGGGCUUCACGCAUGCUACAAUGGCCGGUACAAAGGGGUGCAAUACCGUGAGGUGGAGCGAAUCCCAAAAAACCGGUCCCAGUUUGGAUUGAGGUGUGCAACUCGACCUCAUGAAGUCGGAGUCGCUAGUAAUCGCAGAUCAGCAACGCUGCGGUGAAUACGUUCCCGGGUCUUGUACACACCGCCCGUCAAGUCAUGAAAGUCGGUAACACCUGAAGCCGGUGGCCUAACCCUUGUGGAGGCAGCCGUCGAAAGGGGAUCCAGUUUG
rnacentral:rRNA from 1 species